AUACUUACCUGGCAGGGGAAAUACCAUGAUCAUGAAGGUGGUUUUCCCUGGACGAGGCUUAUCCAUCACACUCCGGAUGUGCUGACCCCUGUGAUUUCCCCAAAUGUGGGAGACUUGACUGUACAAUUUGUGAUAGUGGGAGACUGCAUUCGCACUCUCCCC